rnacentral:lncRNA from 1 species
GAGGCAGUAAAUAGUUUUGGAGAUAUGGUGUCUUCCUGCCGUACUCCUCGGUUGAUUUUUAUUGGCCUCGUUUUCAUUCCGUUAUCCAUGAUGGAUAUAAUAUGAUGGAUGAUCAAAUUAUUUGAGUGUGCGUGAAACAGAUUAAUAUAGUGUGUGUUCAAAAGAGGAUAUGGCAACCCUUUUGCCUAAAAUGAAAGAUUAAUGUAAGAUAUAUUUAUUACAUUAUCAUGUAUCCUACUCCUACUAAUCAAACAUUCAUAUGAGAUGAAUUUGUAGUCUUGACUUUAUUUUCGCCGUGAUUUAUUUAUAAUAUUUUAAAUUUCUAGGCUAUGAAAAUGUUACUUUUUUUAACAAAUGGAGUAGACUUGCUGUAUAAAAUUUUGAAUUUGAAAUUAACAAAGAGGAUGAGUCACAAAUUCAGCUAUCCUUAGUAAUGGAAUUAUGAAAUUUUGAGGAUGGACAAGAAAUUAAUACUCAGCUUAUACCUGAUGGAAGAAAAGAAAUGUUUUUUUUUUGUUUUUUAAGUUUGAGGCAUCCUGUAGGGAGGACAUAAUACAAGGUUUCCCGAUCCAGACCGACAUCACCAGCUAGCUGUUUAUGAGUUAUAGAAACCAUCAGUCAUGUCUGCCCCACUAUGGAAAAAUCAAGAACUUUUUUCAGAUAGUAAUAUGGCACCACCUGCUGUUCAUAUUGAAGAUGAGACAUGUCGAUGUGCUUCAAACUUAAAACGAUAGUAAUAUGGCACCUGCUGUUCAUAUUGAAGAUGAUGUCGAUGUGUUUCACACUUAAAAAAUGUCGAACAAUGGAAAAAGAGGUGUGAACAUGUUAAAAAAAUAGAACAAAGUUAUAUGACACAACAGCCAGCUUUUGACAUCGUGGUGGAUCAAAUAAUCAUAAAUGUAGGUGUCGAUAGUGACAGUGAUUCUGAAAGUGACGAGAUGGACUCUGAUUCUGAGUCAGAUGAUUCACAAUUAUGAACCCGAGACACUCAUGUUGCAUUUCUUCAGAAACUGUUAGUGGAAAAUAGCUCCAGCGGUUGGACAAAACAGACUAGACGAAACCACCCAGACGAUGGACAAAAAACUAUUCAGUUCGAUACUGUUUUCUGACUUUUUAAAAUUUAAAUAUUUUUAAAAUUGAAUAAAGAAAUGUUAUUGUUAAUGA